rnacentral:misc_RNA from 1 species
GCAAACUUGGUCAUUUAGAGGAAGUAAAAGUCGCAACAAGGUUUCCGUAGGUGAACCUGCGGAAGGAUCAUUAGUGAAUAAUUUGUGUGUUUGCUGGGUACUUCCCCAGCUUACACACAUUCUAUCCACUUUAUCUACCCCCUUAUGUGAACUUGUUAUUUUCGGGCGGUUUCUCUCUCUCCCUUGGCGGGGAAAGAAGCUGGUCGAGGCUUGUUUGUUUUGGGAAACAGCCGAAUUACCCCCUUUUUUGAAAAGCAAUUGUGUUAAUGAGAAUGUGUUUGUUACUAUAAAUAAUAAUAAAACUUUCAGUGACGGAUCUCUUGGCUCUCGCAUCGAUGAAGAACGCAGC